GCUCAACUGGCGCAAUGGUAGCGCGCAAGACUUCUAUCGAUUCCUGGGACUACAACCCAUCGAAUGAGAUCUUGAGGCUGUGGGUUCGAGUCCCACGUUGAGUG